GCUGCUAAUUGGGCUUCAGAGAAGGCUCAGUUGGGAAAGCUCCUGUUCCUCAAGCUGUGGCGUCUACAUAAAAGCCCCUGAGUCCAAGGCACAUAGCUUUUAUAGUACUGGAAGGUGCUGUGCAGGCUGGUAAGGAAAAGAAGCUAUCAGCAUGCUUACUCAGCUAUGACCUCUGUGAACUGCAAUAGCUACUGGUUUGCAGGAGACAGCUGAGUAAAAUAGCCAAAUGCCGGAGUGAGCAAGCAAGCAGUGCAGCAUUUGAAGGAGCUCCAACCAGCUUAUAGCUGCUAAUGCCACGUUCUUGGGGAUGCUCUGAGUCAGUGAUUAAACACAGCUGUAAUUAAAAGCUAAAUGACCCAAGUUUACAUUAAAAUAUAGGUUUAAGA